CAGGCCUAAUACAUGCAAGUCGAACGGUAACAGCACUUCGGUGGCUGACGAGUGGCGCACGGGUGCGUAACGCGUAUACAAUCUACCUUUUACAGGGGGAUAGCCCAGAGAAAUUUGGAUUAAUACCCCAUGGCAUAUAUUUAUGGCAUCAUAUUUAUAUUAAAGAUUCAUCGGUAAGAGAGGAGUAUGCGUUCUAUUAGCUAGUUGGUGCGGUAACGGCGCACCAAGGCUACGAUAGAUAGGGGCCCUGAGAGGGGGAUCCCCCACACUGGUACUGAGACACGGACCAGACUCCUACGGGAGGCAGCAGUGAGGAAUAUUGGACAAUGGGCGAGAGCCUGAUCCAGCCAUGCCGCGUGCAGGAAGACUGCCCUAUGGGUUGUAAACUGCUUUUAUACGGGAAGAAACACCUCCACGCGUGGGGGCUUGACGGUACCGUAAGAAUAAGGAUCGGCUAACUCCGUGCCAGCAGCCGCGGUAAUACGGAGGAUCCAAGCGUUAUCCGGAAUCAUUGGGUUUAAAGGGUCCGUAGGUGGACGGUUAAGUCAGAGGUGAAAUCCUGCAGCUCAACUGUAGAAUUGCCUUUGAUACUGGUCGUCUUGAGUCACUGUGAAGUGGUUGGAAUAUGUAGUGUAGCGGUGAAAUGCAUAGAUAUUACAUAGAAUACCAAUUGCGAAGGCAGAUUACUAAUAAUAUACUGACACUGAUGGACGAAAGCGUGGGGAGCGAACAGGAUUAGAUACCCUGGUAGUCCACGCCGUAAACGAUGGUCACUAGCUGUUGUUUGGACUUUAAGUCUGAGUGGCUAAGCGAAAGUGAUAAGUGACCCACCUGGGGAGUACGUUCGCAAGAAUGAAACUCAAAGGAAUUGACGGGGGCCCGCACAGGCGGUGGAGCAUGUGGUUUAAUUCGAUGAUACGCGAGGAACCUUACCAGGGCUUAAAUGUAAGUUGCAUAAGCUAGAGAUAGCUUUUUCUUCGGACCACUUACAAGGUGCUGCAUGGUUGUCGUCAGCUCGUGCCGUGAGGUGUCAGGUUAAGUCCUAUAACGAGCGCAACCCCUGUUGUUAGUUGCCAGCGAGUGAAGUCGGGAACUCUAACAAGACUGCCGGUGCAAACCGUGAGGAAGGUGGGGAUGACGUCAAAUCAUCACGGCCCUUACGUCCUGGGCUACACACGUGCUACAAUGGCCGGUACAGAGAGCAGCCACACCGUAAGGUGGAGCGAAUCUACAAAACCGGUCUCAGUUCGGAUCGGGGUCUGCAACUCGACCCCGUGAAGCUGGAAUCGCUAGUAAUCGGAUAUCAGCCAUGAUCCGGUGAAUACGUUCCCGGGCCUUGUACACACCGCCC
rnacentral:rRNA from 1 species